rnacentral:rRNA from 1 species
AUUCCUGGAACCUCCUCGGAGGUUCGUGACCCCCCAUGCAGAACACGUGGUCGAUAGGCCGGACGUGGAAGCCGUGCAAGCGGUGGAGCCGACCGGUACUAACGGG